rnacentral:rRNA from 1 species
UAGUCCACGCCUUAAACUAUGUCAACUGGUUGUCGGGAGAUUAACUCUCUUGGUAACGAGGCUAACGCGUGAAGUUGACCGCCUGGGGAGUACGGCCGCAAGGUUAAAACUCAAAGGAAUUGACGGGGACCCGCACAAGCGGUGGAUUAUGUGGAUUAAUUCGAUGCAACGCGAAAAACCUUACCUACCCUUGACAUGUACGGAAUCCUUCAGAGAUGGAGGGGUGCCCGAAAGGGAACCGUAACACAGGUGCUGCAUGGCUGUCGUCAGCUCGUGUCGUGAGAUGUUGGGUUAAGUCCCGCAACGAGCGCAACCCUUGUCAUUAGUUGCUACAUUUAGUUGGGCACUCUAAUGAGACUGCCGGUGACAAACCGGAGGAAGGUGGGGAUGACGUCAAGUCCUCAUGGCCCUUAUGGGUAGGGCUUCACACGUAAUACAAUGGCCGGUACAGAGGGCUGCCAACCCGCGAGGGGGAGCUAAUCUCAGAAAGCCGGUCGUAGUCCGGAUUGUUCUCUGCAACUCGAGAGCAUGAAGUUGGAAUCGCUAGUAAUCGCGGAUCAGCAUGUCGCGGUGAAUACGUUCCCGGGUCUUGUACACACCGCCCGUCACACCAUGGGAGUGGGUUUCACCAGAAGUAGUUAGCCUAACCGCAAGGAG